rnacentral:rRNA from 1 species
AUUGAACGCUGGCGGCAAGCCUAACACAUGCAAGUCGAACGCGUGGCGGACGGGUGAGUAAUGUCUGGGAAACUGCCUGAUGGAGGGGGAUAACUACUGGAAACGGUAGCUAAUACCGCAUACCAUCGGAUGUGCCCAGAUGGGAUUAGCUAGUAGGUGGGGUAAAGGCUCACCUAGGCGACGAUCCCUAGCUGGUCUGAGAGGAUGCCCAGCCACACUGGAACUGAGACACGGUCCAGAAUCCUACUGGAGGCAGCAAGGGGGAAUAUUGCACAAUGGGCGCAAGCCUGAUGCAGCCAUGCCGCGUGUAUGAAGAAGGCCUUCGGGUUGUAAAGUACUUUCAGCGGGGAGGCUUUACCCGCAGAAGAAGCACCGGCUAACUCCGUGCCAGCAGCCGCGGGAAUG